rnacentral:rRNA from 1 species
CAACUCCGUUUGAUCCUGGCGGAGGCUACUGCUAUUGGGGUCCGAUUAAGCCAUGCGAGUCGAACGUCCCUUCGGGGACGUGGCGAACGGCUCAGUAACACGUGGACAACCUACCCUUAG